rnacentral:rRNA from 1 species
AUUGAACGCUGGCGGCAGGCUUAACACAUGCAAGUCGAGCGGAGAGAGGUAGCUUGCUACUGAUCUUAGCGGCGGACGGGUGAGUAAUGCUUAGGAAUCUGCCUAUUAGUGGGGGACAACAUUUCGAAAGUAAUGCUAAUACCGCAUACGUCCUACGGGAGAAAGCAGGGGAUCUUCGGACCUUGCGCUAAUAGAUGAGCCUAAGUCGGAUUAGGUAGUUGGUGGGGUAAAGGCCUGCCAAGGCGACGAUCUGUAGCGGGGCUGAGAGGAUGGUCCGCCACACUGGGACUGGGACACGGCCCAGACUCCUACGGGAGGCAGCAGUGGGGAAUAUUGGACAAUGGGCGGAAGCCUGAUCCAGCCAUGCCGCGUGUGUGAAGAAGGCCUUAUGGUUGUAAAGCACUUUAAGCGAGGAGGAGGCUACUUUAGUUAAUACCUAGAGAUAGUGGACGUUACUCGCAGAAUAAGCACCGGCUAACUCUGUGCCAGCCGCCGCAGUAAAAC